ensembl:lincRNA 9130227L01Rik RIKEN cDNA 9130227L01 gene
AAAUAUCACCUUUAAGGAUGUCUGUGACACUCCACUCCUUUACCCAUUUCUUGUUUCUUCCCUCUCCCCAGAUCCAGUAGAAUCUACUUGGAUGGCAGUUCCGAGGACCACUUCAUGGUAUGGACCCUUCACAGGGCUACACUUCUGAGGUUCCCAACAGCAUCUGGUGCACUCGCAAUGGCUUUUUAUAUCAGUUCAUAGCUACCCAUCAGAGAGAUUGUAGAAUCAUCUAACCUGAUGUGUUGUGGGAAGAUUCUACUAAAAACUCAUAAUCUGACUGUGGCUGUGGCUGUGCGUUUGUCUCUGAUGAUCUUUGGAACUGGCUUUGACUUGUCUGAGAUGGUACAUGUUGCACUCACCUUGUCCGGCAAGGAAAAACGCAACAAGAUCUUCUGCAUCUCAUCGAACUCAACUACCAACCAUGAAGCUUUCCCAGAGGCCAUUCUUUCUACUCCUGCCUUCCUGGCCCACAAUACUCCCACGGAAGAGAUCUGUUCACCUUUCCAGAUAUAUUGUCCAUGUGUUAAUUCUCUUUCAGGGAUGUUAUUGUCCCUCCUCAGGGUUGUAUCUGCUUCUCAGGGAACUACAUCAGUCUAAACACCAAUUAUCAAUGCAGUUCAAAUUUUUACCUAUGAAGAAGCUCCUCACCCAGGGUGAAUUAGUGGGAGCACGGCAAGGUGUUUGCAGAAGGAUUUACUAACACAAGGCCUAGCAGAACGCCUUUGCAUCACGUAGUGACUGCACUAAAACAGUCUGUUGUCAUUCUCCCUUCACCGUGCUGUGAAUAUCUAGAUGGUGAGAAUUAUAUCAGAUUCACAUUUAUGUCAUGAGUGUAUAGUGAGGCAACAGUUAUGUUUGGAGGCAUUGAACACAAAGUCACUGAGUUUCAUUGAUCUUUUAAAACCAGAACUCUUCUAGUAGAAGACUUCGGGUGGGGGUAGACUAUUCUGCCUCUCAGGGUGAUCCUUCAAGGCCUUUAUUUGCUAGGUCAUUGUUCAGAAAACAAGAUAAAAUCCUACAGACCUUUUCUUAGCAUUUAGAAUCUGUAUGUAGAUUUCAUAUACUUGUCCCCACAGCCUAUUCUGGUCCUAGUUGGUAGCAAUAAGCACUGACAUUCUUGGAAAUGCAGUUUGGCUAAGAAUGUUUUAUCAGUUUUUGUGACCAUAUUAUAAUAAGAAAAUGGGCAUGACUGGAUUUACUGUCAGCUGAAAGAUGUGUGUUUGAUAUAUAUUUGAUCAUGAAAGACUAAUAUGUUGUGGCAGCAAAUGUAGUUUAAUGAUACUUUUAAAAAUUUAAGAUUUCAAUGUCAGAGAAGCAAACUGGAAACUCAAUAUGUAUGCACUCUGUGCCUUUUGUCUUCUUGUAAGAAUCUGUCAAUUAUCUUACCCCAAAUAAAAGUCUACUGCACUAAAACCCACUUGACAGAAACAUAAAUAAUGGCAUAAUUACAAAUAAAUUCUGAAAUUAGUUUACAUUUUUAAAUGUGCAGGUCAGGAUACGUAUAGAAAAGUGUAAACAUGUAGACAUUAUUACUUCAUUGUCUAUGAUUAUUUCCAGUAAAUUAGUUUAUAAAUUCCAGAUUCUUUUUAACUCAAUGGCAUGAAAUAAUGUGAAUAAAUACCUGGCUUUCAGAAGG